rnacentral:rRNA from 1 species
CGGGAGUAACGCGUGGGUAACCGUGCCUCAUACAGGGGAGUAACAGUUAGAAAUGACUGCUAAUACCGCAUAAGCGCACAGUGCUGCAUGGCACAGUGUGAAAAACUCCGGUGGUAUGAGAUGGACCCGCGUCUGAUUAGCUAGUUGGUGGGGUAACGGCCUACCAAGGCGACGAUCAGUAGCCGGCCUGAGAGGGUGAACGGCCACAUUGGGACUGAGACACGGCCCAA